rnacentral:lncRNA from 1 species
AGUGGAGUUUAUGGAGCAGAGUUUAUGCAACAAUCCUAAAUACCCAUGAAAAUGAAGAGAAAAAAGAGGAAGAAAGAAGGAGAAAGAGGAUAGGAGAGAGAAAAAAGACUGGGCAUGCAUAGGUGGAUGAGUCCUAAGUUCCCUAUGUGGCAAGACUGUGGCCUUGUUUAGUUCCCAAAAUUUUUUGGUUUUAGGUAGCAUUUUCGUUUUUAUUUGACAAUUAUUGUCCAAUCAUGGACUAACUAGCCCUAAAAGAUUCAUCUCGCGAUUUACAGACAAACUGUGUAACUAGUUUUUAUUUUCGACUAUAUUUAAUGCUCCAUGCAUGUGCCACAAGAUUCGAUAUGAUGGAGAAUCUUUAAAAAGUUUUUGGAAUGAACUAAACAAGGUCACAGCUUUUAGGAUUCACUUAGCUAGGACAGCACUUUAGCUAUAUGGUUGAUUUCCGAGAGAUCACAUAUUUAGACGCUAAUGACAUCUAUCGGGCUAGAUAAGCGUAUAUGUAUGCCUUCAUAUACUGCAGUUUCUGAAAAAUAUAUACCUGAUUGCAUGCAUGCUCACCUUUCUUUUCUAACCUAACCCAUGGAUCCACCACUGUACCGGUCUAAUAUAAAAAGUUCAAUGAAGAAAGAUCGCACACGUGCUAGUGCUAGAAACCGGAUGGAGGAUCAUACAGCUAGCGGUAUGAUGAGAGAUAACAAAGCACGUGCUAGUAGUAGGGACCAGACAGGCAUAGGUAAUGGCACGAGGUCCACGCAGACGCAGGCAGAUGCGAUUUCGGCUUAACUGUUUUAUAGUUUCUCUAAUAAUAAAUUAGCUUAGUAGUAUUUUUCUUUCAUACUAAAUCAGCGAAUAGAUCAUAAGUUAUUACGAGAGCAGAUCUGGCUCAUGCCGAUACUGUAGAAGGGCAAAUCUUAUCUUCUGUCCACGUUACUUGUACAAAUCUGGCUCAUGCAAAUGAGUGCAGUGCAAUAUGUCUUGUUCAUCUCCUCACACCAACUUGUUGCUGAAAAAAUUCAUGUUUGUAGUAAAAAAAAAAGAAAAAAGGGCACCCCUACACCAUGUGGCCGCCGGUGGGGUCGGCAUGGAUUUGAUCCCAUCAGCAAAUGACACUUGUAUUUGGAUGCAGAGACUAAAGUUUAAGAGGUGUUUGGAUGGUAUGUUGUGAGUCGAAUUUAUUAAACAUAAUUAAUAUAUCAUUAGCAUAUGUUUACUAUAGUACUACAUUGGGCUUUGUUUAAUUGGAGUACGAAAAUUUUUUAGGUGUCAUAUCGAAUGUUUUGUAGGAUGUUGGAAGGAGUAUCUGGAUAAUAAUAAAAAAAACUAAUUACAUACUCGCUUAGAAAUUGCGAGACGAAUUUAUUAAGCCUAAUUAAUCCAUCAUUAGCACAUGUAGAUUAAUGUAGCACUUAAGGCUAAUCAUAGACUAACUAUGCUUAAAAGAUUCAUAUCGUGAUUUCCAACCAAAUUGUAUAAUUAGUUUAUUUUACUCCAUGCGUGUGUC